GGUCGGCAGAAAGAGUUACAGGGGUGUUUGAGAGUGGAGUUUUUUCUCCGGAUCCAGAGUCAGAUUCUGACAUCUUGAUUUUUGGCUGUUUUGCAGGUUUCGGAAAAGGUCGGGGAAGGUAUAGUGAGGCUAUGAUGAUAUUUUUCUGAGCCCCAAGCCCGGAUUAACCCGCUCUGAUACCAUCUUAAAGAUGGUAAUCGAGAGUGGCGAUGAUAGGCAUUGAGAACACAGAGAGAAUUGGGAGUAGAAGAUCGUUUGUGUGUAUUCUGUUAUAUCUUUUCAAUGUUUACAGCUCCCAAAUAUAUAGGGAAGAAUAAUUCCUAUCUAUGGAAAAUAGUAUAUGCCUCAAUCAAUUACAUUAUUCUUUCUCAAUCAAAUAUUCUUUCCUUAAUCAACUAUUUCCUCAAUCUUCUUCUUCUUUUGCAGAUUUCUCGGUUGAUAUCUUUUGACAUAUAUACUAUCUGGAGAUGAUGUAUCGGGGGCUACCUGAUCCCUAUCAAGGCCAAGAGAUCAACCGCCUCACUCUCGCCUACUUCGUCAUCUCCGGCCUCGACAUCUUCGCCGCUCUCGAUCGAAUUGACAAAGAAGCAGUCAUUAAUUGACAAACAGAUCGAUUGCAUUGCUGUCUCCAAGAAGGUGUCGGCCGUUUUCUUCAUGCUAGCUGCCAUGUUCUUCGCCGCUGCGGCUGCGAUUGCUGCCGUGAAUGCCAAUCCCAAGAAGGAAGCAUCCGGGGCCAGCUGGGCUGGCAGAGGUUGGGCCUGCAUUGGCCGGGCCAGUUGUGGCUGCGGCAGCAGCAGCGGCCUCCAUUCUGUUUGGUGCGGCCGGGAAAUGGAUCCAUUCACUUUUGAACAAGCGGGAAACUGCAGCCAGGAAACACAAGGAGAUGACUGCGGUUAUGAUUAUUGGCGCCAAAUUCGGGAUGGGAGAUCUUAGCGCCAUUCACGGCGUGGCUCGGAGGUUGGAGUUGGAGAACAAAUCUUUGUCCGAAACGGUUGAAGAUGGGAACAAAGUGGCGGCUGUGAAAAAGGGCUUUGAAGAUUUGGUAGCAAAAGUUGAAGCAUACAGUAACACGACGAAUUGGGCUAAAGAUGGUGUGCUUCUGACUAUUAUCAAACACUCGAGUUAAACCUUCUUAAAUACAGAUCUGUUCAGUUUCGAAUUACUGUAUUUAAUCUUUUGGAAGAUCUUUUCAGUUCGAAUUAGUUUACUAAUUAUUUUAGCAGAUUUGUUCAGUUUCAAAUAUUUGUAAUUAUAUACAGAUUUGUUCAAUUUUAGACAGACGGUUGAGCAAUUGGUGUGGGUUAUUUGUCUAGAAAAUAAUACUACAACUGUUUUCCUUUCAUAAGUA